rnacentral:rRNA from 1 species
UUGGCCACGGAGACCGAAGUCCCCACAGCUAGUAUCCAUCGUUUACGGCGUGGACUACCGGGGUAUCUAAUCCCGUUCGCUACCCACGCUUUCGUCCAUCAGCGUCAGUACAUGGUUGGUCACCUGCCUUCGCGAUCGGUGUUCUAUGUGAUAUCUAUGCAUUUCACCGCUACACCACAUGUUCCGGCAACCCCACCAUGACUCAAGACCUGCAGUAUCAAAGGCAAUUUUAUGGUUGAGCCACAAACUUUCACCCCUGACUUACAGGCCCGCCUACGGACCCUUUAAACCCAAUGAUUCCGGAUAACGCUCGGACCCUCCGUAUUACCGCGGCUGCUGGCACGGAGUUAGCCGGUCCUUAUUCUUACGGUACCGUCAGACACCUACACGUAGGUGCGUUUCUUCCCGUAUAAAAGCAGUUUACAACCCAUAGGGCCGUCAUCCUGCACGCGGCAUGGCUGGAUCAGGCUCCCGCCCAUUGUCCAAUAUUCCUCACUGCUGCCUCCCGUAGGAGUCUGGUCCGUGUCUCAGUACCAGUGUGGGGGAUCCCCCUCUCAGGGCCCCUAACCAUCGCUGCCUUGGUGGGCCGUUACCCCACCAACUAACUAAUGGUACGCAUGGCCAUCCCUGUCCGAUAAAUCUUUAAUCACCCUAUCAUGCGAUAAAAUGAUACCAUGGGGCAUUAAUCCAAGUUUCC